rnacentral:sRNA from 1 species
UUAAGUUUUUUUGCCAAAUAGAAGCAAAAACCUAUGCUUUAGUUAAAUGUAUUAUGUGCUUUUUUUCAGAGUACAGUUUUAUAUAGUGUAUCUUUAAAAUCAAUUACUGGCAGAAUCUGAUUUUUUUUUUCUUUUUCAAGGGAAAAAUUUAUACACAAAUGAAUAUGUGGCAAUUAAGUUGGAGCCCAUGAAAUCAAGAGCACCACAGCUACAUUUGGAAUACAGAUUCUAUAAGCAGUUAGGAUCUGGAG